AAGUUUUCAAAGUCAACAGCAAAUUAACUGACCUAGAAACCAAAGCUGAGUUCAGACAGACAACCAGAUUUGCUUUGUCCUUGGAUUAUCAGUUCAAAACCUGGCUUAUUCUAAUUCAGUUUACAGUAAUAGCAAGUUGUAGACCAACUUUAAUCAUACAGAGACGCCAGUUACUGUGUUGUAAGGACGCUCGAGCAGCUCUAUGGAGAGGCCUAGGUGGUGAGGAACGGAGGCCUCCUACAGCGGUGUCAUGGAUGAGCCGUCUUGGAAAAUGCUCCUUUGGCUCUGGCCAAGCCUUCUGAUUAACGGAAGACCAGGCUGUCCCCUCGACUGCAACCUCAUGAGAGACUCUAAGGUAGAACCACCCACCUGAGCCUCUCCUGGAUUUAUGACCUGUAGAAAAAAUAAAUAUAUAUAAUGUAUUUUAA